GGAAAAGCUAGGUGUAAGGGCUUCA
rnacentral:piRNA from 1 species